UUGAGUGCUGUGAUGAGCAGCAUCGGGUUUCAGAAGCAUGAGAGAGAGAGAAACCUCUCCUUUCAAGAUAAAAAAAAAUACAAUAACUCAUGGGAAAACUUGAAUAAAGUGUUUCCUCAUUCACGCUUCUGGAACUCCAGAAGUUUGUUGCCACCGUAGCCGUUGUUGCUCGUCGCAGCGUUGCCAUAACCUUCCUAGCUCGUUACUGCUCUUCACAGUCGUUGUCUUCCUCACUCGUCACCGGUGCUUUCGUUGCUUGUUGCCCUUCUUCUGUGUCUGGUUAAAGGAGAGAUUUCUCUCUAUUGUUUGGAAUAAAUUACAGGUUGUCCUGCCACUCACGAUCUCUGCCUUCUUCUGCACUCGUCGCUGUCGUCCUGUAGUUGUCGCUUACUAUGAUCGUUGCUGUUGCCCUCUAGCUGCUGUUGAUCUAAAGUGGUUCUGUUGCUACCCUUCUCUCUCUGUGUAUCAUCCCCCUCUUUUUGUGAUUUUUGGUCUUUUUCUUGUUAAUAUGGCUCAAUACACUUCAAUUCGUGCUAGCUAUGUUGGCUCUAUUGGAAUGAUUUCUUUGAACAGCAUUUUGCUUUUGCCAGAGUGAUUGAUAAUCGCAGAGUACAUGCCUCUAAGUUGGAAUUUUUAGUUCAUCAUGGAAGCUUAAGGGACAAAUAUCUAUGGCUCAACAAUUUAGAAAUUACUCCCUGUUCUAUUUUCAGUCAGAGGAGGAUUUGAAGUUUAUGAUAUCUCAUGGCUGAUGGCUUUUACAAGGAGAACUGGGUCAUAUCAGCUAGUACGCAGUGUUACUGGAAUCCGAGUUUGGCCGAAGAAGAUCAAUGCAAAACAAUCACCUGCGUCACAAAUGCAAGAUCAUUUGCAAACCUUGGGUAUAAAGAGGAAAGGGGAGGACACAGAUAAUCCUUUUGUCACAAGUUUUAAAAGAGGAAGAAAACCAUAUUUAAUGAUUCCUCUACUAUUCAGUUGACUGAGUCCCAAGACGUGCAGGAUGCUUCCAAUCCAAGCUCUUAUGUGAAGCCUCAACUUACGAGCAUCACUUUACCCGGUAGUGUCUUGGUAAACGCCAGAGAAAUGAAAUUCAUUGCAUAACUAUCAGGAUCCUCCAAAAUCUGGGGUUCUUUUAUUCAGCAAAAGCUCAUCAAAAUUCUGCUAGAAAAUUUGCUUAAGACUGGAAUUUGAUUAGUCCUUUAUCUAUUUCCCGUAAGUUUGGACCAGAGUUGAGCUUUAUCAGUACCAUCAUCUCAACAUUGGCUCAAACUGCUAGGGGAGUUAAAAGAGUGCUCGAUGAAUCUCACUCAGAUGCCUUUAUUGACUUGGGCUCUUGUAGAGCUUCUGCCAAAAAGCUCUGCCAGCCUGUAUGAUAGUUCUGAGGGUCUCUAAACUGCUUUUGCCUACUAGUAUAUUAGGUCUUAUGUUUUUCUUUUUGUUUUUUUUUCUUAUUAUUACGAGGCAAUCAAAAUCACAAACUCCAACUUCAAGGUUUAUGAUCCAUAAGCACUAGGUUUCUUCUUCAUGCUGCUGCACGAUAAUGCAAGGAGUUCUUGGAUGUUGAUUGCUUUUGUGCCUGUAUUUGGCUUCUUGAAUCCAAAUUGGUGUUCUAGUGUUUACUGUAGAGGUUCCAGAAUUGCAUAUGGUUUUGGUGCUCGUGUUGUCAUCAACCUAUCUGUUAACCUCCACCGUCUCUAUUUCUCUGCUGGCUUCUGAUCAGCAUUGCAAACCCCAUGGGGUAUUUCAGGGUGCCUUUCUUUGCCACCUUAGUAGGAAUGGGUAACGAUGCACUAUUUCACUCUGUCUUCUUCGUCAAUGGAUUAUUCAGCUAAUAGAACAGAGGUUUCUCAAAAUUGAGGCUAUCAACAACAUCAGCUAGCUUAAGUUGGAUGCAGCACUUGCAUCGGUCCAUUUGGACUCUUUGGUUGCUUUUACUUGUGAAAGCUUUAGGUUAUAUUCGGCUUGUUCUGGCUGAUAACUAUCGUCACUUGCCGUGGCUAUUAUAUGCAUUGCUAUGGUUCUUCAAAUCGUACGGGAGAAUUUUCAUAGAGUUGACUGAGAUUCAACUCUCUCUAUUGCUCGCGAAGACGACAGCAACUGGCUUUUAGAGCUAGUUAGAAAGACUUUUGUGCCAGCCAUUACUCUUUUCAUCUGCCAGCACCUUUCAAAGAUAUCUUGGGCUUUUUGUUGGUUUUUGAGUCAUUGACUGUUUUCUCCUUUUAUGCUCUUAGGGUGCUGUGUUUGUUUGAGUCUUAUUUUUCAUUGUUCUCAUGUAAUUUCUCUAGUUUCA